rnacentral:tRNA from 1 species
AUCUAUACACAGUGUAAAAGUGAGGUUAUCGUUCAUGCGACAAUUAACAGGAAGCUAUC